ensembl:lncRNA
AUUUUCCUGAAGUGCUACCUUCAUCCUACACGGAUUUCCCCUGUGUGGUUGUCCAUUUCUGCUCUCCAUUUUGUUUCACUGAUUCCUCUAGCUUUAUUUUUUUGUCCCUGCAUGUUUAUUCUCCUAUGUGCACUUAAGGAUGAACCUCUAUCCCUCCCUCUACCCCCUGCCCAAUCCUUCUGGAAGCCAUUAUGGAGCUUUGGGGUCCCUGAAAUUAUGUAAGAAGUGUACAUCUGCACAUUUCUCCAGAGGGAGUGUCCAAGUUUUCAUCAGAUGUGCAAAGGGACCUCAAUUCCCAAGGGAGCCACUGGUUUACACGGCUUUGUGAUGGGGCACAUGGGAGGAGCACAGAGCAGUCUGGAUUCCUCCCAUCUCUUCUACAUCUUCACAGAUUCUGCUCUCCCUGUCCUUCACCUCCACCAUCCUCAGGAGGGUUGUUUUUAUUAAAUAAUCCCAGUCAUUUUCCUUCCCCCCCUCCCCCUCCCCUUUCCAUUCCCCAGUCACAUUGUAAUCCAUGCCCUCAGCAGGGAGACUACUUGCUUUGCCUGCCUUCAGGGAACAGUUAGGAAGGCAAAUAGUAAUAAUACUGGCGCCUCUGUAAGUCAGUGAAUUUAGAACACUGGAGCCCAAAAGUGGAAUUGACCAGCUGAGCAAUGUUAGGCAGAGGGCAAAGUCGUAGGGCAGGGUUUUUCAGCUUUGGCAUUAGUGACAUUUAAGGUGUCCCGUGCCUUGGUAGAUGUCUUGCAGCAACCUUCAUUUCUUCUCACUAGAUGCCAGUAGCAAUCUCAGAUGUGAAAACCAAAAAUGUCUCCAGACAGUCUGGAACUGGGGGAGCAGAAUUACCCUAAGUUGUAAACCACUGCUCUAGAAGAAGAGGGGAGCGGAGGGUCUCAGGGCAGGACACUACUCUCUUACCCUCUGUCUGAAAGGGACAUCGUAAAGUCUUUUUCUUCAUAGCAGGCACUUGGGCAAGCCUUCUCUCCUCUCUGGGCUUCAGGUUUUGCAUCUGUAAACUGGAUUUGAAGUUUGUAGAUCAUUUCCCCCUUCUCUCAUCAUCUGACAUUCGUGGAUCUGGUCCACGGUGUGACAGGGGUAUCGUGGUGCCAGUAAGGUCCUGUGAGAUCCCCAGAGAGAAGGAAGAUGAGAAAGAACAGAAAGACGUAGAGGUGGGGGCGCGGGGAGACAAGCAUUAGCAGGAGCGUUCCGGAGAAAGUAGAGGCUUGGAGUGUCCUCUGACCCCGCCCCUUCGAGGCCUUAUUAGCGUAGUCGCCC